rnacentral:rRNA from 1 species
UACGUAGGGGACAAGCGUUGUCCGGAAUUAUUGGGCGUAAAGCGCGUGUAGGCGGCCAAGUAAGUCUUACGUGAAAUCCUGAGGCUCCAACCUCAGCCUGCGCGGGAUACUGCUUGGCUAGAGUCCGGAAGAGGAGAGUGGAAUUCCUGGUGUAGCGGUGGAAUGCGCAGAUAUCAGGAGGAACAUCCGUGGCGAAGGCGGCUCUCGUGGGACGGUAC